rnacentral:rRNA from 1 species
GAUGAACGCUGGCGGCGUGCCUAAUACAUGCAAGUCUAGCGAACGGACGAGAAGCUUGCUUCUCUGAUGUUAGCGGCGGACGGGUGAGUAACACGUGGAUAACCUACCUAUAAGACUGGGAUAACUUCGGGAAACCGGAGCUAAUACCGGGUAAUAUUUUGAACCGCAUGGUUCAAAAGUGAAAGACGGUCUUGCUGUCACUUAUAGAUGGAUCCGCGCUGCAUUAGCUAGUUGGUAAGGUAACGGCUUACCAAGGCAACGAUGCAUAGCCGACCUGAGAGGGUGAUCGGCCACACUGGAACUGAGACACGGUCCAGACUCCUACGGGAGGCAGCAGUAGGGAAUCUUCCGCAAUGGGCGAAAGCCUGACGGAGCAACGCCGCGUGAGUGAUGAAGGUCUUCGGAUCGUAAAACUCUGUUAUUAGGGAAGAACAUAUGUGUAAGUAACUGUGCACAUCUUGACGGUACCUAAUCAGAAAGCCACGGCUAACUACGUG